AUUGAACGCUGGCGGCAGGCUUAACACAUGCAAGUCGAGCGGAGAUGAGGUGCUUGCACCUUAUCUUAGCGGCGGACGGGUGAGUAAUGCUUAGGAAUCUGCCUAUUAGUGGGGGACAACAUUCCGAAAGGAAUGCUAAUACCGCAUACGUCCUACGGGAGAAAGCAGGGGAUCUUCGGACCUUGUGCUAAUAGAUGAGCCUAAGUCGGAUUAGCUAGUUGGUGGGGUAAAGGCCUACCAAGGCGACGAUCUGUAGCGGGUCUGAGAGGACGAUCCGCCACACUGGGACUGAGACACGGCCCAGACUCCUACGGGGGGCAGCAGUGGGGAAUAUUGGACAAUGGGGGGAACCCUGAUCCAGCCAUGCCGCGUGUGUGAAGAAGGCCUUAUGGUUGUAAAGCACUUUAAGCGAGGAGGAGGCUACUGAGACUAAUACUCUUGGAUAGUGGACGUUACUCGCAGAAUAAGCACCGGCUAACUCUGUGCCAGCAGCCGCGGUAAUAC
rnacentral:rRNA from 1 species